UUUUUAUCCUAAGGUGAUCAUAAGGCUGUUCAGCCUAGAACAGAAGCCAGGCAAUGUUUUGUGGGUUGUUUAGUUUUAACUUGUAUCUAUGUGGUGUUUUCAGGGAAACAAAUAUUCAAUGGCGAUUAAAGAGGCAUAUAUGGAGAUGAUGCCUUAAAAGAAAACUUCGUUAUUAAUAAUACUGAUCACAGAAGCUACCACACACUGAGAUGUUCUCAGGACUUUGGAGUUAUUACUACAUCUAAUCCUCACUCCAGCCAGUCCCAGCAUCGGCACUGAGUCUCAGCUUUCAUGAGAAGCAGCUUUUGGUGUUUCAGCAAUAGUUCUGGGGCCUUCUCUGACCGCUGUCAGGGACACAAGCGGCUGCAGCCAGCAGCUGACACAUAAAGCACAUUUACUACACCUACAGCGCACAGCUUGUCGUUUGCUUGGGAGACCCGGAACAGGAGCGGGUUUGAGCUGAGUCUGAGGACCGCAGUCGGGGCCCAAAGGGCUAAAGGCGUCUCGCUUCCUCCAAACACUACUUGGAGCUCUUCCUCCUCCACCUGUAUUUACCUCCCUCUGGCUCAUUCAUCGUCUCUUCUCCAAAGAUGAGAAAAAAAUAUUUAAAUAUAUAGUAUCUCUUUUCUUC